CCUACGGGGGUCUGCAGUGGGGAAUAUUGGACAAUGGGCGAAAGCCUGAUCCAGCCAUGCCGCGUGUGUGAAGAAGGCCUUCGGGUUGUAAAGCACUUUCAGUGGGGAAGAAAGCCUUGGGGCUAAUACCCUCGAGGAAGGACAUCACCCACAGAAGAAGCACCGGCUAACUCCGUGCCAGCAGCCGCGGUAAUACGGAGGGUGCGAGCGUUAAUCGGAAUUACUGGGCGUAAAGCGCGCGUAGGCGGUCUGAUAAGCCGGUUGUGAAAGCCCCGGGCUCAACCUGGGAACGGCAUCCGGAACUGUCAGGCUAGAGUGCAGGAGAGGAAGGUAGAAUUCCCGGUGUAGCGGUGAAAUGCGUAGAGAUCGGGAGGAAUACCAGUGGCAAAGGCGGCCUUCUGGACUGACACUGACGCUGAGGUGCGAAAGCGUGGGUAGCAAACAGGAUUAGAUACCCUAGUAGUC
rnacentral:rRNA from 1 species